UACGAAGGGUGCAAGCGUUAAUCGGAAUUACUGGGCGUAAAGGGUGCGUAGGCGGUUCGUUAAGUCUGUCGUGAAAUCCCCGGGCUCAACCUGGGAAUGGCGAUGGAUACUGGCGAGCUAGAGUGUGUCAGAGGAUGGUGGAAUUCCCGGUGUAGCGGUGAAAUGCGUAGAGAUCGGGAGGAACAUCAGUGGCGAAGGCGGCCAUCUGGGACAACACUGACGCUGAGACGCGAAAGCGUGGGGAGCAAACAGG
rnacentral:rRNA from 1 species